rnacentral:tRNA from 1 species
GGAGGAUUGGCCGAGUGGUAAGGCACCGGCUUGCUAAGCCGAGAUCGGGUCUGGAAAGCCCGCGCACGUUCGAUCCGUGCAUCCUCCGC